GAUGAACGCUGGCGGCGUGCCUAAUACAUGCAAGUCGAGCGAACAGACGAGGAGCUUGCUCCUCUGACGUUAGCGGCGGACGGGUGAGUAACACGUGGAUAACCUACCUAUAAGACUGGGAUAACUUCGGGAAACCGGAGCUAAUACCGGAUAAUAUAUUGAACCGCAUGGUUCAAUAGUGAAAGACGGUUUUGCUGUCACUUAUAGAUGGAUCCGCGCCGCAUUAGCUAGUUGGUAAGGUAACGGCUUACCAAGGCAACGAUGCGUAGCCGACCUGAGAGGGUGAUAGGCCACACUGGAACUGAGACACGGUCCAGACUCCUACGGGAGGCAGCAGUAGGGAAUCUUACGCAAUGGGCGAAAGCCUGACGGAGCAACGCCGCGUGAGUGAUGAAGGUCUUCGGAUCGUAAAACUCUGUUAUUAGGGAAGAACAAAUGUGUAAGUAACUAUGCACGUCUUGACGGUACCUAAUCAGAAAGCCACGGCUAACUACGUG
rnacentral:rRNA from 1 species